rnacentral:rRNA from 1 species
GACGAACCGUGCGAACGUUGUUCGGAAUCACUGGGCUUAAAGGGCGCGUAGGCGGGUUCCCAAGUCCGGGGUGAAAUCUUUCGGCUCAACCGGAAAAUAGCCUUGGAUACUGGGAGUCUCGAGGGAGGUAGGGGCAGCGGGAACUUCCGGUGGAGCGGUGAAAUGCGUUGAUAUCGGAAGGAACGCCGGUGGCGAAAGCGCGCUGCUGGACCUCUGCUGACGCUGAGGCGCGAAAGCCAGGGGAGCAAACGGU